rnacentral:rRNA from 1 species
UAACGGCUCACCAAGCCGACGAUCCCCUAGCUGGUCUGAGAGGACUGAUCAGCCGCCCUGGAGCUGAGACACGGUCCAGACUCCUACGGGAGGCAGCAGUGGGGAAUAUUGCACAAUGGGCGAAAGCCUGAUGCAGCCAUGCCGCGUGUAUGAAGAAGGCCUUCGGGUUGUAAAGUACUUUCAGUUGUGAGGAAGGGGGUAGUGUUAAUAGCGCUAUCUCUUGACGUUAGCAACAGAAGAAGCACCGGCUAACUCCGUGCCAGCAGCCGCGGUAAUACGGAGGGUGCGAGCGUUAAUCGGAAUUACUGGGCGUAAAGCGCAUGCAGGUGGUUCAUUAAGUCAGAUGUGAAAGCCCGGGGCUCAACCUCGGAACUGCACUUUGAAACUGGUGAACUAGAGUGCUGUAGAGGGGGAGUAGAAUUUCAGGUGUAGCGGUGAAAUGCGUAGAGAUCUGAAGGAAUACCAGUGGCGAAGGCGGCCCCCUGGACAGACACUGACACUCAUCUGCGC